AUUGGCCUUUAAUUGUGGUCUGGUAUGAACGGAAACAUAUGUAGUUUCUGUCUCAUUUGUACUGUUGGUAACUUGCUUAGUAGGUGAAAAUUCCUAUAAGUUUAAUUGUAGGACGAUAAGACCCUUAGAAUUAUUAAUAAGUGAACACAUAAUGUGUUAUUCUUUUUUGUUGGGGCGACAUAUUCUCAAGUAACAUAAUUAAUAUAAAAAUCACAGGUCUAAUAUAAUUAGGAUGAUUUAAUUACCUAAGGGAUAACAGCAUAAUAUUAUUAUAUGUUUAUGACCUCGAUGUUGGACUAGGUAUAUUUAUUAAUUAGAAGUUAUAAAUAUUUGUUCUGUUCGAACAGUAACACCUACAUGAUCUGAGUUCAGACCG
rnacentral:rRNA from 1 species